UGUCGACACGUUCUGACAGUGUUUACCGUCACAAUAAUACUCACCUUGCCACCGCAUUAUAUUCUGGGAAGGUGGACCAGAAAUGCCAAGAGCGUUGUGGAGAUGGAUGAGCGUGUUAGCGAUGAUGGCUUGUUACACCGUUAACCACUUAUGUCGCGAGGCCAUUAAGUAUGCUGAGGAAGGUGCAGUUACACCUGAGACUUAUAAUAUUUGCUUUAGGAGCACUCAGAGAAGGUGGAAAGAAGGUUUCAGCUGUCAGGAAAAGCGUUGGCAGAGCUGCACCUCCUAGCCACACGGUGGUGAUGCAAAGACCUCACUAUCAGCAUCUGACUCAACCCCUCUGCUGUGGCCUCGUCAUGAUGAAAUGACACGCAGAUUUAAUCUUAACGAUGGUGGGGCCAGAGCUCGUCUGUUGCUGAUUUGAAUCUGCCGCGUAUGGCACCGAUAUCCCUUCACCGAGAUGAUGGUGCUCCUGAGAAUAUGGUAGCUCUUCCUUGUCUUAAGUCAAUGACUUGGGGGAUGGAGAGUAAGAAUACAAUCCCGGGUGGUAGAGUUGCAGUUAUCAAUUUAAAGUUGCACGAUUACAGAAAGUUUCCUCGGCAGAUAUGGAGGUCAAGUUUCAGCUGUCUAGCGUU